GAAGGGGGCUAAAGACCUCCCCCUGCCAACUAUACACCACCACAAAAGUCUUAACACAGCCGUAAAAUUCUAUGUAUAGAAAGCACACGCGCAUAUAUUUUUACCGACAUUAUAAGAUAUGGAACCGUUGAAACUACUAGCGCAAUCUGUCUUACGAUCAUAUAAUAUAAAUUCGUGCAAGAAAUCAUAGUGAAAAAAUAUCAUCAAAGAUGGCACUUUCAUAGAAAAAGCGAAAUGAUGGUUAGUCGUUGAGUUGGUACGUAAGCAUAUUUGUAUGAAUGAAAAAUGAAGGGGAAGAUGAUUAUUUGAUCGUAAUAAGUAUAUUAUAUAGUUAUAUAAACAUAGUAUACGUUUUUGUUUUUAUUAUUAAAAUAUGCUAUUAAUAAUUAUAACUUCCAUACUUUUAUAACAUUUUUACUUUCUUUUGAGCCUUUGUUGUAACAAGAUAUACACAAGGAACGUAUACUUAAAUAUGUAUGAAUGAUACAUAUUCACUGGUUUCAACAAUAACUACAUCUACUCCCCACCGUCUCAUUUCUAAUCUGAGGCAAGCUCCCCAAGCUUCAAUUGCAGCCUAAUAUAUGCAUUAAAUGCCCCGAACAGGACUUGGUAUCCGAGCUAAAAGGCUGCUAACUAUUACAACACGGCCUUUUGAUCUUCUAAUCAGAGAAGGAGGCACCCAUUCGCAUUCACCUAGAGUCACCCAAGCAGCAGCAUGUACUAAUGCCCAUAAACCUAAUACAAACAAUUGUAGCGAAAUUUAAGAAUUAGAAAUAGAGUG